UGUAAGCCAUGCUUUUGCUUCUCCUUUGCCUUCCGCCAUGAUUGUGAGGCUUCCCUAGCCAUGUGGAACUGUGAAACUGAUUCCAUUAAACAUCUUUCCUUUAUAAAUUACCCAAUCUUGGGUAUGUGGGGUUUUUUGUUGUUGUUGUUGUUGUUUUGAGGGAGUUUUGCCUUGCUCUGUCACCCAGGCUGGAGUACUAUGGCGCGAUCUCUGCUCACUGCCACCUCUGCCUCCCGGGUUCUAGCGAUUCCCCUGCCUCAGCCUCCUGAGUAGCUGGGAUUACAGAUGCCCGCCACCAUGUCCAGCUAAUUUUUGUAUUUUUAGUAGAGACUGGGUUUCACCAUGUUGGUCAGGCUGGUCUUGAACUCCUGACCUCAGGUGAUCCACCUGCCUUGGCCUCCCAAAGUGCUGGGAUUACAGGCAUGAGCCACUGUGCCCAGCCAGGUAUGUUUUUAUCAGCAGCGUGAGAACAGACUACUACGACCAGCCCCAGCCACAAUCACAAAAUUUGUUCUCCUGUGUGGCCAAGUCAGAUAGCUGCCUUAUACAACUGCCUCCUGGUGACCAGCUCAUUAUAGGUCAGCUGGCUGCAGCCUGCUCUACUUGCCAUCCUGACCCCCACACCCAACAUGGAGUGUGCAGACAUGCUGCAGUGACCACCUCUGUGUGCCCCUGGAACUUAUGCCUGCUUGCUUUAAACGCACCAAUUAAAACUCCAUGUGGAAAAUCUGUUUAGAUGAUUCCUUGACCCCAAUAAAGUUCGGCCCACAGGUCCCUUUCUCUCUUUCCCUGCCCUUGCUCCCUGACCUCCAGGUAUGCCAUGUAGCCUCCAGAGUCCCCAAAUACUAAAAACUCUUAAACUUUCUCUGCGUGUGUGUGUGUGUGUGUGUGUGUGUGUGUGUGUGUGUGUGUGUAUCUUUUAUGUUUAUAUGUGUAUAUACAUGUUUUUCAUUGUUCUGGAAGCCUGUGGUCUCCUCAUUCUAUCUUUUGUUUUCCCUCUUUCAAUAGAUGUAUGACUGUAAACCAUUCUCACUCUCCUCUAAGAAAAAAACAGCUUUGCAUGCAUGACAAUGGCUGGC
rnacentral:lncRNA from 10 species